rnacentral:rRNA from 1 species
UACGUAUGGAGCAAGCGUUAUCCGGAUUUACUGGGUGUAAAGGGAGCGCAGGCGGUCUGGCAAAUCUGAUGUGAAAGGCCGGGGCUCAACCCCGGGACUGCAUUGGAAACUGUCAGACUGGAGUGUCGGAGAGGUAAGCGGAAUUCCUAGUGUAGCGGUGAAAUGCGUAGAUAUUAGGAGGAACACCAGUGGCGAAGGCGGCUUACUGGACGAUGACUGACGCUGAGGCUCGAAAGCGUGGGGAGCAAACAGG